AUCAAUGACAUCUGGGAAUCCCUGUUAGAGGGAACACUGGCUGUCAUGUUGUCUGCAUGCAUCCGCCACUAUAACUGUGGUUACAGGUUAUACAACCAGUGAGAGGCCAGCUUGGAGUAGCACCAACAGCGGUUACACUCUAGGGGUUACCCAGGACUCCAAGAGACUUUAGGUGGCAGCAAAAUAAAGGAACACUGAGAGGAAUAAAAAUCAUAAAAUAAAUGCAGAUGCAGCUUCAUUUUUGAAAAGAACCUGAAGAACUUGAUAUGGAACACGUAGUUGGUCCCUGGGACUUGUGAGAAGAGGACAGUAAAUCAAAUAACGGAGAAGAUCCCUGCAGUGGAUAACCCACAAAUAUUGAAGAUCAGUUUGAUGCAGGCAUCUGACAUGAUGGUUUUCCAGCUCAUGUCAUGACUGUUAAAGGUGUGCAUUGCUGAUAAACCCUCUGCUUUGUAGCUACAAAGGCAGACAGGUGUCUAAAUUUCUGGGAGGAUACGCCAUUCGUUUUAAGGAGAAAAUUCUGGCCCCAAUUCAGAAGACCAAGCUAAUGAAAAAGAAGGGAGCCAACAGUCAGAAAUCCGCUUUUGUUCUCUUGCACAAAAUACCCAUCCAGAGAGCAAGGGUCAACACACAAAACAAAAACUUUCAAAUUACUGUGAAUGAAAAGCAAUUUCUGUUUGCAUCUGAAAGAUCCAAUUCAAAAGUAAUGCAUUAAGAAGAAAAAAAUUACACAAAGUGAUGAAAUAAUAAUAAAAGACUGU